UGGGCAGUAGCUCAGUGGUAGAGCUCCCGCUUCGUAGGCGGGAAGAGCUGGGUUCCAUUCCCGGUUGCUUAC
rnacentral:tRNA from 1 species